ensembl:misc_RNA 7SK 7SK RNA
GGAUGUAAGGGUGAUCUGGCUGUGACAUCUGUCACCCCAUUGAUCACCAGGAUUGAUUCAGUUGAUCUGGCUGGCUAGGCAAUGUCCACUUCCUCCCUCACUGCUCCAUGUAUGUCCCUCCAGAAGCUGCAUGCUUGGUUGAUGAGGACGGCCUUUCCUGAAUGGAGAUGGAUCUGUCUUUGGUCAAGGGUAUCUGAGUAGCUGCACCUCUGCUAGAACCUAUAAACAAGCUCUCAAAAAAUGGGCCAAAGAGAAAUGAAAUGAAAGAGAAAUAAAGGAAGCAGUCUCAGUUAUAAUAGAAACCAAAAAUAUAAAAUACUUAGGGAUACAUUU